CCUACGGGAGGCAGCAGUGGGGAAUAUUGGGCAAUGGAGGAAACUCUGACCCAGCGACGCCGCGUGCGGGAUGAAGGCCUUCGGGUUGUAAACCGCUUUCAGCAGGGAAGAAGCGAAAGUGACGGUACCUGCAGAAGAAGCACCGGCUAACUAUGUGCCAGCAGCCGCGGUAAUACAUAGGGUGCAAGCGUUGUCCGGAAUUAUUGGGCGUAAAGAGCUCGUAGGUGGUUCGUCACGUCGGAUGUGAAAAUCUGGGGCUUAACCCCAGACCUGCAUUCGAUACGGGCGAGCUUGAGUAUGGUAGGGGAGUCUGGAAUUCCUGGUGUAGCGGUGGAAUGCGCAGAUAUCAGGAGGAACACCAAUGGCGAAGGCAGGACUCUGGGCCAUUACUGACACUGAGGAGCGAAAGCGUGGGGAGCGAACAGGAUUAGAUACCCUGGUAGUCCACGCCGUAAACGGUGGGCACUAGUUGUGGGGACCUUCCACGGUCUCUGCGACGCAGCUAACGCAUUAAGUGCCCCGCCGGGGAGUACGAUCGCAAGAUUAAAACUCAAAGAGUAGUGACGNGAGAGAGCGACGAGACACGACGGAGGUAGAG
rnacentral:rRNA from 1 species